GGAUGCGAUCAUACCAGCACUAAAGCACCAGAUCCCAUUAGAACUCCGAAGUUAAGCGUGCUUGGGCGAGAGUACUACUAGGAUGGGUGACCUCCUGGGAAGUCCUCGUGUUGCAUUCC
rnacentral:rRNA from 1 species